rnacentral:lncRNA from 1 species
UCAGAAAUACCUAGAAGCUGAUGAUUAUGGAUCUAAGGCUCCGUCUCUCUCUCUCUCUCUCUCUCUCUCUCUCUCUCUCUCUCUCUCUCUCUCUCUCUCUCUCUCUCUCUCUCUCUCUCUCUCAGCUUAUUUUUGUUUCCUUUAUGCGGUGGGAUAACAUGGAAUAGUGGGGUGGAGCUCAACACCGUACGAUUGUCACCGUUGACAUCCGAGUUGGUUUGUAAUUUUGAAAGAUCUGAGGACUAGUUUCUUUUUCUUUUUUAAGAUAGAGGGAGAGAGAGAUGCAUAGUCAUGUGAGAUAUGCCUCGCCGCUGACGGUGGUGGUUGUUGUGAAGCUAGCGGCGACGAUUGGUUUGCCUUACAGGUUUUUAGUAUAAUAUUGCUGGCGAUUCAGUCUAGAAACUGGUUACGUACUGGGUUGCGACUGCGAAAAGAAGAAAAGAUGAUUCCGGUCAGAAAUCGUGCUACGAAGGGAUCUGAAAAGGGCCUAAGAGUAUGUGGUUUGUAUUUUAGUUUUUGUUCAUGUUUUCUCAUAAACUUAGUUUUCAUCUGCAGGGCUUGUUAUAGAAUAAAAUACACAAAUUCAUCUUUGGCUCAAUGGUUGCAGUAGUUGAUUUGAUAGACGGCUGUGCCUUGUUCGAAUCCCCCUGACAUCUCAAAUUUAUUUAUUUAUUUGGGAUUCUCCAACUUUUUUUUUUUGGCCUCAAGG